rnacentral:tRNA from 1 species
GACGUGGUGGUUCAGUGGUAGAAUUCCCACCUUCCAUGCUGAAGGCCUGGGUUCAAUUCCCAGCCAAUGCA